AGUGGUUACACUGCACUGGUGGCUGGCACGGAAGAGGGUGUGAAAGAGCCACGGGCAACAUUCUCAGCUUGCUUUGGUGCGGCAUUUAUAAUGUUGCACCCUACCAAGUAUGCAGCUAUGCUAGCUGAGAAGAUGCAGAAGCAUGGUGCAACNNNACACUGGCUGGUCAGGUGGAAGCUAUGGGUCAGGUGGCCGUAUCAAGUUAGCUUACACAAGAAAAAUCAUUGAUGCCAUACACUCUGGCAGUCUCUUGAAGGCAAAUUACAAGAAAACUAAUGUGUUUGGGCUUGAGAUUCCCACAGAGGUCGAAGGAGUGCCUUCUGA
rnacentral:misc_RNA from 1 species